rnacentral:rRNA from 1 species
AUUGAACGCUGGCGGCAGGCCUAACACAUGCAAGUCGAGCGGAUGAAGGGAGCUUGCUCCUGGAUUCAGCGGCGGACGGGUGAGUAAUGCCUAGGAAUCUGCCUGGUAGUGGGGGAUAACGUCCGGAAACGGGCGCUAAUACCGCAUACGUCCUGAGGGAGAAAGUGGGGGAUCUUCGGACCUCACGCUAUCAGAUGAGCCUAGGUCGGAUUAGCUAGUUGGUGGGGUAAAGGCCUACCAAGGCGACGAUCCGUAACUGGUCUGAGAGGAUGAUCAGUCACAUUGGAAGUGAGAAACGUCCCAGACUCCGCGGGGAGGCACCGUGGGGAAAUCUGGGCAAUGGGACGAAAUCCUAUCCCGGCCAUCCCGGGUGUGUAAAGAGGGUCUUGGAUUUGUAAAGCAUUUGAGGUUGGGGAGAGGGGAGAAAAGUGAAUCCGUGCUUUUUUGCAGUUGCCAAAAAGAAUAGGGCCGGGCUAGCUCCGGC